CCCUGCCUUUGUAAAAACUGGCCACCUCCUGCAUCUGCAUUUGAGGGAUUCUGGGAAUUGUCCACACCCCAGAAAAAUGGUGCAUCCUUAACUUAUCCCAGAGGAUAGCCCGCUGGUGGGGCAGCCAGUCAUUUUCAGAAGAAACAGCCUGGGAAGAGAAACCACUCCACCUUUUGAGAUCAGGGCCAAUGUGACAGGUAGGGAGAUGAGGGAUAAGCCUCACAGGAAGACUCCAUAGAAACCUCAGUGAGAAUAAGAAGUGCUGAUGAAUUCCCUCCAGAAAAAUAAUCCAGUGACCUCAGUGUCCCAAAGGAGAUGAGGACCAAUAGGAUGCUUGUGAAAAAAAUCACAAAUAGGCAGACUGAGCCAAAAUGCAAUUUAUUUUCUUCACUACUCCUAGUAAUUAGUUUUUAUUUAUAUCACUGGUGUGUGUGUGUGUGUGUGUGUGUGUGUGUGUUCAACUGACACUACCACAGUGUUAAAUCGGUAAUAGGGUUUGAUGUACACAAUGUAUACUCUUUUCUCUCAGUCCCAGUCCUUGAAAGGUAUUUUCAUAUAGCAAGUGCUCAAUAACAUUUGAGAAUAUUCCUCCCACUUCACUCUCUAAAAUAGAUUGAAAACUUCUUGAUGGACAAUUGUUUCCAGGCUACAUCAAGGGCUGCAACAAAUCAACAGAAAAAUACCAAAAGAAAAACAGGGCCAGGCGUGGUAGCUCACACCUAUAAUCCCAGCACUUUGGGAGGCCAGGGCAGGCAGAUCACCUGAGGUCAGGAGUUCGAGACCAGCUUAGCCUAGUAAAGAUGGUGAAACCCUGUCUCUACUAAAAAUACAAAAAAUUAGCCGGGUGUGGUGGUACAUGCCUGUAAUUCCAGCUACUAGGGAGGCUGAGGCAGAAGAAUCGCUUGAACCUGGGAGGUGGAGGUUGCAGUGAGACGGGAUGGCGCCACUGUACUCCAGCCUGGGCAACAGAGUGAAACCCCGUCUCUAUAAAAGUAACAAAAAAUUAGCUGGGCAUGGUGGCGCACACCUGUAGCCCCAGCUACUUGCGAGGCUUGGGAUAGGAGAAUCACCUGAGGUUGAGGCUGCAGUGAGCUGUCAUCGCAUGCCACUGCCCUCCAGCCUGGGCGAUAGAGCGAGACCCUGUCUCAAAAGAAAGAAAGAAAAGAAAACCAGGCAAAAGGCAAAAGACCAUUUCAUGGAAAGGGAAAUAAAAGUAGCAAAGACAUAAAAGAAAAACAAAAACGCUCAAUCUCACCAAUGAUUGGGAAAAAUGCAAAAAUGAGUUUUGACUCAUCAUACUGGCAAAAAUUAUGGUAUUACCAAGCACUGACAAGGAUAAUGGGAAAUACAGUCAUCGUUGCUUAAUGACGGGGAUACAUCCUGAGCAGUGCAUCAUUAGGCAAUUUCAUCAUUGUGUGAACAUCACAGAGUACUUACACAAACCUAGACAGUACAGCCUACUUACAUGGUAGAGUUUAUGGGCUACAAACCUGUACAGCAUGUUGCUGUACUGAAUACUGUAGACAACUGUAACACAAUGGUAUUUGUCUGUCUAAACACAGAAAAGAUACAGUAAAAAUACGGUGUAAAAGAUAAAAAAUGGUAUACCUGUCUAGGGUAUUUAUCUGAAUGGAGCUUGCAAGACUGGAAGUUUCUCUAGGUGAGUCAGUGUGUGAGAUGUCAGUGAAUGUGAAGGCCUAGGACAUUACUGUACCCUACUGUAGACUUUACACUAUACACUUAUGCUACACUAAAUUAAAAAAUUUUUCUUCAAUAAAUUUAACCUUAGUUCACUGUAAUUAACUUUUUGGCUCUCUUUUAAUAACACUUAUCUGAAAACACAAACACACUGUACAGCUGUAUAAAAAUAUUUUCUUUAUAGUCUCAUUCUGUAAGCUUUUUUCCUAUUAAAAUUUUUAAAAAUUUAUUUACUUUUUAAUUUUUUCUUGUCAAAAACCAGGACACAAAUACACAUUAGCCUAGGUGUACACAGGGUCGGGAUCAUCAAUAUCACUGUCUUCCACCUCUACAUCUUGUCCCACUGGACGGUCUCCAGGGGCAAUACGCGCAUAGAGCUGUCAUCUCCUAUGAUAACACUGCCUUCUUCUGGAAUCCCUCCUGAAGGACCUGCCUGAGGUUGUUUUACAGUUAACUUUUUUUUUUUUUAGAAACUGAUGUUUAUUUUCCAUCAACCAUUUUUCCAUGUUGCUUAAGAGCCUAUGCAAGAACAGCUUAAGACCAGUCAGUGGUUGCUCCUACCCAUUCAGUGGCCUGAGCAGUGGGAGCUGCAGACCAGUCUUCCGUGGCAGGCUGAGCGCUCCCGUCUUCAGUAGGGAAUAGGCACAGAGGGCACCUGUACACCUUCAGACCAGUCUGCAACCUCAGGCUGAGUAACAGUGAACUCAGGAGCUGGAGCAGUCCAUUCACCCUGAAAUUCCUCCUUGGUCACUGCCUUUUCAGCAGCAGCCUGCUCUUCUCUUUCAAUCUCUUCAGGAUCUCUGUAGAAGUACAGAUCAGGCAUGACCUCCCAUGGGUGUUCACAGGAAAUGGUGCCACGCAUGCGCAGAACUUCCCGAGCCAGCAUCCACCACAUCAAACCCACUGAGUGAGCUCCCUUGUUGUUGCAUGGGAUGGCAAUGUCCACAUAGUGCAGAGGAGAAUCUGUGUUACACAGCGCAAUGAUGUACUGUUCCAUCUGGAAGUCAAGAUUGGUGCCACCUAAGUGAGUUCCUGCUGCAAGGAACUUAAGGACAUCCUCCUCCUUCAUUUGCAGGACAUCAAGGGCUCCGGACAUUGUGAAAGUUUCCCUUUAAGUUACGAUGGGAAUCCAGAACAACGCCGUAUGGACCCCUCUGCAGGUAGCGUGGAAAGGACUUUUUUUUUUUUUUAAUAAGUAGAGAGUAUACUUAAAAGAUAAAAAGCACAGUAUAGUAAGUACAUAAACCAGUAACACACUUAUUAUCAAGUAUUAUGUAUUGCACAUAAUUGUGUUAUAUUUUUAUAUGACUGGCAGUGCAGUAGUUUAUUUAUACCAGCAUCACCACAAACACAUAAAUAAUGUGCUAUGACACUAGUGAUGGGAAUUUUUCAGCUCCAUUAUAAUCUUAUGGGACCAUUGUCACACAUGUCAUCUGUCAUUGACUGAAACAUCGUUACGCGGAGCAUGACUGUAGAUAUUCUCAUACACUGCUUGUGAAAGUAUACAUUGGUUGGGCUACUUUAGAGGGCUAUUUGCCAAUAUUUAUAUGCAUUCUGAGUUUGAGAGAUUCUGAGAACUAUGCUGGAGCCACUUCAUACCAGCUAACAGAGCUGAUUGUGCAUUCAUGUCUCAUUAGUAGUUUGAAAUCGGCCAUGGUGGAAGAAUUCACACCAUGGAAAUUGGCAAAUGCUACAAAUCAGCCCCACUUCCUCUUUUUGGAAGACUGGUUGUUAAACAUUUAUUAGUACUCUAAAGUCUAUUUGACAGUGUCUACAAUAAAAAAAAGAAAGAAAGAAAGAAAAAGCACAUAACCCAUGAUACAGUAUUCCUGUUUUCUAAGAUAUAUUUGUACAUGUAAACAGGGAUGCAUGUUCAAGGAUGUUCACAGCAGCAUUAUUUGCAAUGGAAAAUUGAAGACAACCUAAAAACCCACUCAUUGAUAGUGUAAACCAAAAAGCAUCUGAGACAGGUCUCAAUUGAUUAAGACGUUUACUUUGCCAAGGUUAAGGACCGUGGCCCAUGCUGCAGCCUCAGGAGGUCCUGAGAACAUGUGCCCAAGAUGGUGGGAUUGCGGCUUGGUUUUAGGGAGACAGAAGUUAUGGGCAAAGACAUAAAUCAAUACAUGGAAGGUAUACAUUGGUUUUGGCCUGGAAUAGGGGGACAUCUCAAAGUGGGAGUUGGGGGCUGUUUCUAGGUCACAGGUGGAUUGAGAGAUUUCCUGACUGGCAGUUGGUUCAAAGAGUUAAGCUCUGAGUGAAGAGUUGAAGUCAGCUUGAGUUAUGGUAAGGGGGGAAUGUUUUGGAAGCCAAGGUUUUUGUCAUGUAGGUGAAACCUCCAAAGAACAAGCUUCAGAGAUAAUAGAUGUGACAGUCUCUUAUCUGACCUAAAAGGUGUCAAACUCUGUGGAAAAACCUAGUAGAGGAAGGAGAUUCUCUAAAAAAAUGCAAAUUUCCCCCACAAGGGACAGCUUUGCAGGGCCAUUCAAAGUAUGUCGAAGAAAUAUAUUUUGGGGUAAAAUAUUCUGAUCUCCUUCCGGGCCUGCUGUCUGUCAUGAGAUGUUACAUCAGAGUCAGGUUGGAAUUUGAUCUUAUUGCUACAAAGAGUCUGUUUUGUCGGUCUUAAAAUCUCUGUUUUAAUGUUAAUGCUGGUCAGUUGGGUCUAAACUCCAAAAAGAGAAGGGUAUAUAAUGAGACCUUCCCCCUCUCUUCCUGUCAUGGCCUGAACUUCUAACCACCCCUCUUCCUGUCAUGGCCUGAACUUUUUCAGGUUUUUUUUGGGAUCCCCUUGGCUGAGGGGGUACAUUCAGUUGGUUGGGGAGAUUAGAAUUUUGUUUUUGGUUUAUAAUAGGAAACUCAAAAACAAAAACCUCCAGCCUAUUCUAAAUGGAACACUAUGCAGCAGUUAAAAUUAAUAAACUAAAUUUAUAUAAACUGUUGGGAGAAAAAACUUCUCUACCAAUUUAGGUCCAAUUGGUCGGUGGCCUGUGAAUCAACUGACAAUACACAGAUUAACAGGAGAAAAACGUACUACAUAUGCGAAGGUACCCUAAAGAGAGUAGCUCCCAGAAUAGCUGGGGGGGAAAAAAUCACACAGCCAUAAAAGAGAAUAAAAUCGUAUCCUUUGCAGCGACAUGGAUGCAGCUGGAGGCCAUUAUCCUAAGCAAAUUAAUGCAAGAACAGAAAACCAAAUACCACAUGUUACAAGUGGGAGCUAAACUGUGGAUUCUUAUAGACAUAAAGACGGCAAUAAUAGCUACUAGGGACUACUGGGGUUGAAAGACUAACUACUGGGUACUAUGUUCACUACCCGGGUGACAGAAUCAUUCAUAUGCCAAAUGUCAGCAUCACACAAUAUACCUAAAGUAUCAAACAUGCACAUGGACCCCUAAAUCUAUGAACACAAUUAAUGGCUAAACUUCUAGGUGCAAAACUAGGGAUGGCAUUUGGGCUGUAAAGAAUGGCACAGGCUGUGGUUACCCCAGUAACCACUUUCUUCCAGGACUCACUCAAGGCAAUAGGGACUUGCUUGGUCUUGCCCCUUCUGUUAUGGUUCCAGGGGUGGUUGCCCAAAGGUGAUGCAAGUUGAUUCUCCCAGGGAUGGGUCCCCAGUGAGAGCUCUCAAGCUAUUCAGGGACCUUCAGAGCCAAAUUCCCCUAGCAUUUUGUUCAACUCUUCCCCAUGUGUACAGGGACAAGGAAGGGUUUUGCAUUAUCCUUUCCCAUUUGUUGAAAUUACAUCUAUAAGAACUGAUGAAGAGAAGGGUCAGUUUUUUCCACCUGUCUCAGGGAACUGGGUGGGCCUGAUAACUCUCCCACUACAUGCUCCUGGCCCCAGAUUAUCUGGUUACUUAUUUUUAAACUUCCUGAUAUUAGGGGAAAAGAUUUUUCCCUAAAUUCCCUAUAAGUGAUAUUUGAAGCGGUGGUACGCCACCCAGCAAAUGGCUGUAUCCAGUUUUAAUGGUUCAUAAAGUAACUUAUGAAGUGACUUGUUUUCUUUCAAUUCAAAGGAAGUCUGGGGAAAGGCACCAUUCAUUCAUUCAAGAUGGGGUCUCAAUAUGUUGCCCAGGAUGGUCUUGAACUCCUGGGCUCAAGGAUCCUCCUGCCUCAGCCUCCUGAGUAGCUAGGAUUACAAAUGUGGCAGUUUGAAAGGCACUUUCUUGGUCUAUGUGGUCCGCCUGUACCCAGAUGAUUUGGAGCCUCACCUUUAGUCCCACCCUGGCCAGCCAAACCAGGGUCAGCCUGGGGCUCCAGGAAAAAAUGAAAUGUUACAUGGCCUUACUUGCCUUUUUCUGCUAUUCAUAGGCUGAUAUUGGUUGAUAGUAAAUAUAAACCCACUGGGCAAGUUCAUUUUUGCACAGAGUGACAACCGUCACUGAACUCUGUUUUAAGGGAGGGAUUUUGGUGGGUUUUUUUUUUUGAGACAAGGUCACCCAGGCUGGAGUGCAGUGGCAUGAUCUCGGCUCACUGCAGCCUUGACCUCCUGGGCUCGAUUGAUCUUCCCACCUCAGCUCCCCAAGUAGCUGGGACUACAGGCGUGCACCAUCACGCCUCGCUAAUUUUUUGUAGAGACAGGAUUUUGCCAUGUUGUCCAGACUGGUCUUGAACUCCUGAGCUCAAACAAUUCACCCACUUCAGCCUCCCAAAGUGCUGGAAUUACAGGCAUGGGAGGGAUUUUUUUUUUCUUUAAAUUGAGAUGAGGUCUCACCAUCAUGCCCAGGAUGGUCUUGAACUCCUGGGCUCAAGUAAUCCUCCCAUCUCAGCCUCCUGAGUAGCUGGAACUACAGCUGUGUGCACCACACCCAGCUAAUUGUUCAACAUUUUUGUAGAGACAGGGUCUUGCUAUGUUGCCCAGGCUGGUUUCUAACUCCGGGGCUCAAGUGGUCCUCCUGCUUCAGCCUCCCAAAGUGCUGGGUUACAAGUGUGAGCCACUGUGCUGGGCCAGAAUUUAUUUAUUUAUUAUUUUUAAAGAACCUUCAUUUCCUCUGGCAAUCUGCUUGGGGACAUGCACAUGAAUCUCAUGGGAGAACAAGAAAACGUUUCCUUUUUGUGUUCUCCACUUUCCCUUCCCUUUCCAGAAUCUAGGCCCUGGUGAUUCCCUUCAGGAGGCAGGAAAGCGAUUCCUUGAAGAACAACAGCCGUCACCUUCCUUCCCAGUUGAGCCAGAAAGGCCCCACAGCUCUGCCACAGAUGCUACAGAAAAUGUUUCUGGCCUCAACUCCCCAGGGAGGGAGUAAGCCUUGGGGUUAGUUCAGUUGCACAGUUCCACGUCUGUUAGCAGCCACUGGUUCUCUUACUCCAGCUAUGUUUAGCUUUGUUUGACUAUCUUCCAUGGGAACACAACUGCAUUAGUGUUCCUUUUCUCAGUUCUCCAUUUCAAAAAUUUUUAUUUAUUUAUUUAAUUUCUGAGAGGGGGUCUUGCUCUGUCACCUAGGAUGGAGUGCAGUGGCACAAACACAGCCUCACUGCAGACUCGACCUCCAAGUUCAGCCUCCUGAGUAGUUGGGAUCACAGGCAUGCACCACCAUGCCUGGCUAAUUUUUUUAUUAGUAGUAGAGACAGGGUCUCCCUAUGUUGCCCAGGCUGGCCUUGAACUCCUGAGUUCAAGCAAUCCGCCCGCCUCAGCCUCCCAAAGUGCUUGGAUUAUAGGCGUGAGCCACCGUGCCCCGGUAUCGGUUCUCCAUUUAUAACAACUUGUCACCAAGAACCCGAGACCCAAGCUUGGGUCAAUGGUUGUCCAGCUAGGAUGAGAAUAAUGUGCUGGCUAUCUGGGUACUGUGGACAGCCUGGAAGCCCCAUGUGGCAGCCAACUUACUCAUUUUGCACACUGCACCCAGAGAAGGGUGGCACUGAGUGGAAAGUGAGGCCAAGGUCAUCACAAACAGCAUCAGGCUCUACAAAGAGUGACAGCAACCUGAAGCACAGAGACAGGUCUAACAUGGAUGCAGGAUGUAAGUGACGUUGGACCUAGUCUUAGGUCACAUCUGCAUACAAAAAUCCUCACUACAGGAACUGUCAUUAUUUAAACACAUGAGCAAGGACACAGAUUUUUGAAAUAAGCACUUAUUCUUUUGAAGGGUCUAAAAGGUAGAAUGUAGAGAUGGAAGACAGUAGACCUGAAAUUCCUUCCUGACCACGGCCUUGUACAAAUCUUCUGCCCUGUCUGUCCAGAUGUUUCCUCAUUUUUGACCAGAUGCUAAAGCCUCCAAAUCAGUCAUUCUGAGAUCCAUGCCAAUUCUUAGCCAUGAUUCUAAAAAUAGCCAGAAUAGAAAUAAUAUACAAUCCUCAUAUUUAUGCUUACUUCUUUAAUACAAAAACAGUGUAAUAACAGCAUGAAGGAAAUAAUUUAAUGAUUUUAAUUUUUCAGCCUAAAAUUAUUUUAAACUAAUGGUUUCACCUUGUUCCACUUGAGUAAUCAAAUUCAUAUUUUCCCCCUUGCCAUCUCUCCCCCACCUGCAUCCUGUGAAUCAACAGAAGUUAAAACCCUAACACCAGUGGGAAACAGAAACUAGCCAAGAGCAUGUAAAACAGAAACAAGACAGGCGUGGUGGUGCUGAGGUGGGAAGAUCACUUGAGCCCAGGAGUUCAGGCUGCAGUGAAUAAUGGUUGCACCAUUGCACUCUAGCUUGGGGGACAGCGUGAGACCCUGUCUCUAUAUUAAAUUUUAAAAUAUAAUAAAAGAGAAAGAAAAUGCCUAAUUACAGUUCUUGGUGAAUAAAUGAUGUAAAUGCCCAUAUUUUACUACCUGCUCACGUAUAGCGUUAGUAUUGUAAUCAGAUAGUUUAUGUACCAAACUUGUAAGUUAUGCCAGUUGGGACCAUUUAUCUAACAGGAAGCAGGCCCAGGCAGGUUCCUUUGCAACAAAGGAUGGUUCAAUGUUGCAUACAGUUGAGUUGCCAUGAGAGACAAUUAUGGCCAUCCCCAAAUAAGGAAAACUUGAUUGCACUUAGAUAAAAAUUGCGAUUUUUCAAAUUUUGAGGUCAAAACCUGUAUACUCUACAACUAGAGGUAAGCUUAAGCUAAUUAUGUUCUAUUUGAGUCUUCCCUUCUGCUGACUAAAUCACCAUUUAAAAUAUUUGUAAACCUUGGUUGUAAAGUUGGACACCUAAGAAUUCAAAAUAGCAAUUGUCCCACAAAGCCCCAUCCCUUCCAGUAUUGUGUUCUUUUAGGAAAGUAUUCAAUUAUCUCUCAGCUGAUCCUAAGAUUCCUUCUAUAUCUUGUCCCUUUCAUUUGUUUAGAUAUUUACUAUACACUUUGAGGCUGGGUGCAGCGGCUCAUGCCUGUCAUCCCAGCACUUUGGGAGGCCGAGGUGGGUGGAUCACCGAAGGUCAGGAGUUUGAGACCAGCCUGGCCAACAUGGUGAAACCACGUCUCUACUAAAAAUAUAAAAAUUAGCUGGGUGCGGUGGCGCAUGCCUGUAAUCCCAGCUACUCGGGAGGCUGACACAGGAGAAUCGCUUGAACCUGGGAGGCAGAGGUUGCAGUGAGCAGAGAUUGCACCACUGCACUCCACCCUGGGCGACAGAGUGAGACUCCUUCUCAAAAAUAAAUAAAUAAAUAAAAGGCUGGGCAUGGUGGCUCACACCUGUAAUCCCAGCACUUUGGGAGGCCGAGGCGGAUGGAUCAUGAGGUCAGGAGUUCAAGACUAGCCUGGCCAAGAUGGUGAAACUCCGUCUCUACUAAAAGUAAAAAAAAAAUUAGCUGGGUGCGGUGGCAGGUGCCUGUGAUCCCAGGUACUCAGGAGGCUGAGGCAGGAGAAUCGCUUGAACUCAAAGGGCGGAGGUUGCAGUGAGCCAAGAUCGCGCCACUGCACUCCAGCCUGGGUGACAGAGUGAGACUCCAUUUCAAUAAAUAAAUUAAAAAGAAAAAAAAACAUACAAAAAGAUACUUACUGUACACUUCAGAAAACAGUAUUUUCUAACAUCGGUUUAGCAUUUAUUUCCCUUUAAUUUCUAUUUAUAUUAUUUUCUAAAUGUUCACUCAGGUGUAAAAAAAUAACUUCAACAAUUAAUAGUUUGACAUGAUGUCAGCUAUUUAAGAUACUCAACAUCAUCCUCUGCUUUUCACCACCUUCUUGCAUUUGGGGGUGAAGAGUUAAACUACUUUUUUUUAAUGCUGGAACUCUUUUUGAAUCAUUAUUAAAAUAAGACUGGGGGAAGAGAGGUUAUAUAAAGGAAAUAAAGAGUCUAUAAUGGAAUUUAGGCUUUUGCUGUUACAGCUGAGAAGAACUAGAGCUUCCAAGGAAAGCCUGACCUAAGAAUAAGGCCAAAUCUUUUGCUUCGUAUCAACACAACGCUACCAAAAUCUGGAGUUAUUUUCUGACUUUAUUCUGAAAGCUAACUUUUAGCUUGGCUGGACUGUUUUUUUCUUUUCUUCUCUCAUCUUUCUCUCUCUCUCAUCUCUCUCUCUCUCUCUCUCUCUCUCCUUUUCUUUCUUUUUUAGAGAUGGGCUCUUGCUGUUGUUGCCUGAAGCCCCAAACUCCUGGGCUCAAGGCAUCCUCCUUCCUCAGCCUCCUGAGCAGCUUGGACUUGAGGCCUGUGCUACCACACCUGGCUAACGGGCAGGAAUCUUUCUAAACAGACUGAAUUUAGAGUGCUUAUUGCUCAAGCAGGGAUAAUUUCUACAAGGUCCAGUUCAGGCUGAGAUUUUUAUUUUGUCCCUAAUUUCCUGAAAUCAAAACAAGUGGUUUUAAUCUAGGAUCGCACAGGUAGAAAACCUAGUGGGGUCUCUGGGAACUUUAUACCUGUUUUCUCCUUCCCUGGUCCUUUCUCCAUGCUUUUAUUGUUACCAGGGAGAUGUCCUGGUUUAAUGUAAGUGUCCCUUACAAAACUUUCUAAGAACUUACUCCCAGAAAAUACAAAAAAUGAUGAUAGCCAAUUAGGCAAGAGAGGGGGUAAUUUAGUCUUAUACUUUCUCAGAGGGAAUACAAAUUAAUACAGCCUUCCUGGAGAGGAAUUUGGCAAUGUUUAUCAAAGUUAAAAACUGUGUACUAGGCCGGGUGCAGUGGCUCACGCCUGUAAUCCCAGCACUUUGGGAGGCUGAGGCGGGUCAAUCACUGGAGGUCAGGAGUUCGAGACCAGCCUGGCCAACAUAGUGAAACCCUGUCUCUACUAAAAAUACAAAAAAAAAUUAGCCGGACGUGGUGGCAGGUGCCUGUAGUCCCAGCUACUCAGGAGGCUGAGACAGGAGAAUCACUUGAACCCGGGAGGCGGAGGUUGCAGUGAGCUGAGAUUGCGCCACUGCAUUCCAGCAUGGGUGACAGAGUGAAACUCUGUCUCUAAAUAAAUAAAUAAAACUGUGUACUCCACUUCUGGGAAUUUAUUCAAGGAAAGUCAACUCUUUUCCUAGUUCUAGCCUUCUUUCUGUACAUUAGAUUGAUGGGUCAUUAACUGUUCUUAGUAUGUUUCUGUAUUUUCAUAAUAGACUAUAAUAAACAUAUAUACCUUUGAUAAUAAAAAAUUAAAAAUCAUCAGUAAAUAUAAAAUAUACCCUGUUAGAAACAACUUGCAUUCAGAAGUGCUUAGUGUUAAAUGUGGGGACCACCUGCAACAACCAGUUUUUGGUUUUCUUUUUAAUUCUUGAAAACUCAGUAUACAUUAACUGUAGUUCUUCCAAUGACCUAGGGUUUGGGAAUACAAUUUUAAAAGCCCAUGGCCACUCUUGUAGCUAUUACUUUCAUGGGAUGACCUAAACAGAGUUUCAGACUAUGACAAUGAUUUCCUCUCCUUGUGGCCCAUGUGCUGUUCCUUCACACUUCCACAGACUUCCAUGGGAUAUAUGAGUCAAUACUAAGGUGAUAGCUCUAGUUAUUCCUUCCAAGGACAUCUGGAAUCCGAUUAUCUGAUGAGAUAUUCUAUUGCUCCAUUUUACAGCAGGAGACCUUAUCAAAAUUCUCCUAGAUUACAUGACAGCAGCCCUGGGAACAGAAGGCAAGUUUAAAAUAGUUUUUUUUUUUUCCAAACCACAUUCCUUUCUUGAAUCUAUUUACAGUACUGUUUCAAGAUGUUUUCUGAAGGGUGCACAGGGGCUACAUUGAAAACCUUCUGGUUAUUGUUUGCUAACUGCUGGGAUGGUUUUAAUCAGAGAAGAAGCCAAUAAUUUCAGCUUGGGUGUUAGAAAAGCUCCUGAAAUGUCUCCAAACUGAUUUAGGAGAAACUGCUUAACAGAAGAGGACUUAUUCCUGUCCUGAAACAAACUCCUUAGCAUGGACAUAUGCUGUAAUCACAGACCAAGAUAACCACAUUUUUUGAACAUAUUAUACUCCAAAGGCAUCUUAGAUUUCUAAAUAUUAUCAGUAUCAGAUGACAAAACCUGUUCAACAAGGACCAUAGCCUCAAUAUGCUAGUUGACAGCCUCCGCCGUUAGAAUGUUCUUGGUGUUUGGUAAGUUCUCUAAUAGGACCUACUUUUUAUUACACUAGUUUUUCUUAAAGAAAUUUUUUGAAAGGGGUUUUAUUUUAAUGACUCAGGUAAAAUUUUCUGAGGUAAAAGACCUCACAUCAGUCUCAGCAGACAUCUGCCCCUUCCCAUGAUCCUGACUUGAGGCAAGUGAAGGGAGUCCCUUUGUUGUGAGGCCAAUUUAGUUCUAGGUUCCAGAAAAGCCUGAGUCUCUCAGUAGUUCAGAUCAAACCAGAUGCCCCAGAUUUAAGCAGAACUAAUCCAAAUGCCCAAAUCAGUUUCAGAAAGAGCUCAGGUUUUAACUAGGGUCAGGUACAUCUUUUCUAGGUUAGGUAGGUGCUCCUAUGCCUCAGCUAAGUACAUAGCACUUUGGUCAGCCCUAUAUUUGCAUGAUAAAAGCUUUUUUUUCUACUUUAAAAAUAAUUCCUACAUGAUUUAUCAUGUAUAAAUUCUUAAAACCCCACCCAGGACAAACCACUAUAUCAAGGAUUUCCAUUGCUGAUCUCUCUCACCCUAAUCCUAUUGAAUCCAAGUCUCUGGGGAUAGAGCCCUGGAAGCCUACUUUUUUUUUUUUUUUUUUUUUUUAAAUGUAAAUGCUUUUCUCACGCCUGUAAUCCCAGCACUUUGGGCUUUGGGAAGCCAGGGUGGGAGGAUCACUUGAGCCCAGGAUUUCCAGACCAGCCUGGGCAACAUGGUGAAACCCCAUCUCUACAAAAAAUACAAAAAUUACCUGAGUGUGGUGGCAUGCACCUGUAGUCCCAGCUACUUGAGAGGCUGAGGUGGGAGGCUCGCUUGAGUCCAGGAGCUUGAGGCUGCAGUGAGCCAUGACUGCACCACUGCACUCCAGCCUGGGCAACAGAGCAACACUCCGAAUUUAAUAAUAACAACAAAAAAGUGAAUGCUUUUACAAGUACCCCUUAU
rnacentral:lncRNA from 1 species